GUAGGCAGCGAGCGUUGUUCGGAGUUACUGGGCGUAAAGAGUGCGUAGGCGGUUUUCUAAGUUUGGUGUGAAAUCUCCCGGCUUAACUGGGAGGGUGCGCCGAAGACUGGAAGGCUUGAGUAUGGGAGAGGUAAGCGGAAUUCAUGGUGUAGCGGUGAAAUGCGUAGAUAUCAGGAGGAACACCUGCGGUGUAGACGGCUUACUGGACCAUAACUGACGCUGAGGCACGAAAGCGUGGGUAGCAAACAGGAUUAGAUACCCUGGUAGUCCACGCCUAAACGAUGCAUACUUGGUGUGGGUAGUUCAUUCUAUCCGUGCCGGAGCUAACGCGUUAAGUAUGCCGCCUGGGAGUACGGUCGCAAGGCUG
rnacentral:rRNA from 1 species